rnacentral:SRP_RNA from 1 species
CGGCAAGUCCUAAACAACCAGCUCCUGAAAAUCCUCCAGGGUGGGAACACAGCAAAGGUAAUUGGUUGUAGCGGUGUGAUUUAGGUAGCUUGCCUUUU